CCUACGGGAGGCAGCAGUGAGGAAUAUUGGACAAUGGGCGCAAGCCUGAUCCAGCCAUGCCGCGUGCAGGAAGAAGCAUCUAUGGUGUGUAAACUGCUUUUGUACGGGAAGAAACACUCCGACGUGUCGGAGCUUGACGGUACCGUAAGAAUAAGGAUCGGCUAACUCCGUGCCAGCAGCCGCGGUAAUACGGAGGAUCCAAGCGUUAUCCGGAAUCAUUGGGUUUAAAGGGUCCGUAGGCGGUUUAAUAAGUCAGUGGUGAAGGCCCAUCGCUUAACGAUGGAACGGCCAUUGAUACUGUUAGACUUGAAUUAUUGGGAAGUAACUAGAAUAUGUAGUGUAGCGGUGAAAUGCUUAGAUAUUACAUGGAAUACCAAUUGCGAAGGCAGGUUACUAUCAAUAUAUUGACGCUGAUGGACGAAAGCGUGGGGAGCGAACAGGAUUAGAUACCCUGGUAGUCCACGCCGUAAACGAUGGAUACUAGCUGUUCGGAGCAAUCUGAGUGGCUAAGCGAAAGUGAUAAGUAUCCCACCUGGGGAGUACGUUCGCAAGAAUGAAACUCAAAGGAAUUGACGGCUGAGAGAGACGACGACGACGACGAGGGAGGAGG
rnacentral:rRNA from 1 species